UACGUAGGUGGCAAGCGUUGUCCGGAUUUAUUGGGUUUAAAGGGUGCGUAGGCGGUCUUUUAAGUCAGUGCUGAAAUACUCCAGCUUAACUGGAGGGGUGGCAUUGAUACUGGAAGACUUGAGUGCAGUCGAGGUAGGCGGAAUUGACGGUGUAGCGGUGAAAUGCUUAGAUAUCGUCAAGAACACCGAUAGUGAAGACAGCUUACUAGGCUGCAACUGACGCUGAAGCACGAAAGUGUGGGGAUCAAACAGG
rnacentral:rRNA from 1 species